GGAGAGAUGGCUGAGUGGUCAAAAGCGCUCGCCUCGAAAGCGAGUGGGCCGGAAACGGCCCCGUGAGUUCGAAUCUCACUCUCUCCGCCA
rnacentral:tRNA from 1 species